GCCCGCUACAGAAACUUAAAGGAAGUUGACGGGGGCCCGCACAAGCGGUGGAGUAUGUGGUUUAAUUCGAUGCAACGCGAAGAACCUUACCUGGUCUUGACAUCCCGGAGACCCUUAGGAAACUAGGGGGUGCUUCCAUCUGGAAGAAUCUGGAGACAGGUGCUGCAUGGCUGUCGUCAGCUCGUGUCGUGAGAUGUUGGGUUAAGUCCCGCAACGAGCGCAACCCUUGCCUUUAGUUGCCAGCAGUUCGGCUGGGCACUCUAAAGGGACUGCCGGUGUUAAACCGGAGGAAGGUGGGGAUGACGUCAAGUCCUCAUGGCCUUUAUGACCAGGGCUACACACGUACUACAAUGGCCGAUACAAAGGGCAGCGACACUGCGAGGUGAAGCCAAUCCCGUAAAAUCGGUCUCAGUCCGGAUUGGAGUCUGCAACUCGACUCCAUGAAGUUGGAAUCGCUAGUAAUCGUGGAUCAGCAUGCCACGGUGAAUACGUUCCCGGGCCUU
rnacentral:rRNA from 1 species